rnacentral:rRNA from 1 species
CGGGGUGGAGUAAUGUCUGGGAAACUGCCUGAUGGAGGGGGAUAACUGCUGGAAACGGUAGCUAAUACCGCAUAACGUCGCAAGACCAAAGAGGGGGACCUUCGGGCCUCUUGCCAUCGGAUGUGCCCAGAUGGGAUUAGCUAGUAGGUGGGGUAACGGCUCACCUAGGCGACGAUCCCCAGCUGGUCUGAGAGGAUGACCAGCCACACUGGAACUGAGACACGGUCCAG